ACCCGCUGAACUUAAGCAUAUCAAUAAGCGGAGGAAAAGAAACCAACAGGGAUUGCCUCAGUAACGGCGAGUGAAGCGGCAACAGCUCAAAUUUGAAAUCUGGAGUCUUCGACUUCCGAGUUGUAAUUUGAAGAGGAUGCUUCGGUUGUGGCCUGGGCCUAAGUUCCUUGGAACAGGACGUCGUAGAGGGUGAGAAUCCCGUACACGGCUACCGGCUUACUUCCAUGUGUAGCUCCUUCGAAGAGUCGAGUUGUUUGGGAAUGCAGCUCAAAAUGGGUGGUAAAUUUCAUCUAAAGCUAAAUAUUGGCGAGAGACCGAUAGCGCACAAGUAGAGUGAUCGAAAGAUGAAAAGCACUUUGAAAAGAGAGUUAAACAGUACGUGAAAUUGUUGAAAGGGAAGCGUUUGCAAUCAGACUUGCUUUCGGUUGAUCAACGUUCCUUCUGGUUCGUGCACUCUGCCGUUCGCAGGCCAGCAUCAGUUAGAGCGGUGGGACAAAGGCUCCGGGAAUGUGGCUCCUCUCGGGGAGUGUUAUACCCGGUGCGUAAUGCCACCUGUUCUGAUUGAGGUCCGCGCUUUUUGCUAAGAUGCUGGCUUAAUGGUUGUAACAACCCGUCUUGAAACACGG
rnacentral:rRNA from 1 species